rnacentral:rRNA from 1 species
UACGGAGGGAGCUAGCGUUAUUCGGAAUUACUGGGCGUAAAGCGCACGUAGGCGGCUUUGUAAGUUAGAGGUGAAAGCCUGGAGCUCAACUCCAGAAUUGCCUUUAAGACUGCAUCGCUUGAAUCCAGGAGAGGUGAGUGGAAUUCCGAGUGUAGAGGUGAAAUUCGUAGAUAUUCGGAAGAACACCAGUGGCGAAGGCGGCUCACUGGACUGGUAUUGACGCUGAGGUGGCGAAAAGCGUUGGGGAGCAAACAGG